CCUACGGGGGGCUGCAGUGGGGAAUAUUGGACAAUGGGCGAAAGCCUGAUCCAGCCAUGCCGCGUGUGUGAAGAAGGCCUUCGGGUUGUAAAGCACUUUCAGUGGGGAAGAAAGCCCUGGGGCUAAUACCCUCGAGGAAGGACAUCACCCACAGAAGAAGCACCGGCUAACUCCGUGCCAGCAGCCGCGGUAAUACGGAGGGUGCGAGCGUUAAUCGGAAUUACUGGGCGUAAAGCGCGCGUAGGCGGUCUGAUAAGCCGGUUGUGAAAGCCCCGGGCUCAACCUGGGAACGGCAUCCGGAACUGGCAGGCUAGAGUGUAGGAGAGGAAGGUAGAAUUCCCGGUGUAGCGGUGAAAUGCGUAGAGAUCGGGAGGAAUACCAGUGGCGAAGGCGGCCUUCUGGACAGACACUGACGCUGAGGUGCGAAAGCGUGGGUAGCAAACAGGAUUAGAUACCCCUGUAGUC
rnacentral:rRNA from 1 species